rnacentral:rRNA from 1 species
AGCAGCCGCGGUAAUUCCAGCUCCAAUAGCGUAUAUUAAAGUUGUUGCAGUUAAAAAGCUCGUAGUUGAAUUUCGGGAUCAAGGAAUCGGUCAUGCCUUGGUAUGUACUGGUUUUAUUGGUUCUCACCUUCUAAAGAACCAUAAUGUCAUUCAUUUGAUGUUAUGGGGAAUUAGGACUGUUACCUUGAAAAAAUUAGAGUGUUUAAAGCAGGCUUACGCUUGAAUACAUUAGCAUGGAAUAAUGAAAUAGGACAUCCGAUUCUAUUUUGUUGGUUUCUAGGAUCGAUGUAAUGAUUAAUAGGGAUAGUUGGGGGCAUUAGUAUUCAAUUGUCAGAGGUGAAAUUCUUGGAUUUAUUGAAGACUAACUACUGCGAAAGCAUUUGCCAAGGAUGUUUUCAUUAAUCAAGAACGAAAGUUAGGGGAUCGAAGACGAUCAGAUACCGUCGUAGU